AACAAACAAAGCUCAUGCGAUUAAUAUCAAUAAGCUUCAACUAACACAAUAAAUUAAUAUACAAAACACAAACAUUUUGUAAAAGUGCAAAUCUGUGUACGAAAUCACGAAGUUGCAAAAGAAAAUAACAAAACAAGCUCACCUUUUACAGUCAGACGCAGAUACUGUGUCGUUGCUCUGUCACUCUUUGGUAUAUGAGCACAAAUUUAUCUGUAGCAGCAAGUGCAUGAAAAUAAGUAAGACAUCGCGACGCCAGAAUGUGCCAUAGAGCUGAGGUGAGGUAUUAAACCCUGAAGAAGAAAAAUAGAAAAAGAAAAAAAAAAUAACAAUGUUCCCUUUGUAUUCCAGGCAAACAAACCUUCAAAAAGCUUCAAGGAUAGUCGAGGGCAAACACUUGGCGAGUUUUGAUAGCUUUCAGCCGCCAGUGAUGUGACUCAAUCUCUCAGUUUCUCUCGCGCGCACACGAGCUUGCACGUCCCUCUCGAGCUCGCCUGCAAUUGCUGUCACUGUCGGGAGCGCGCCUGCUUUCACUACCUAGGAAAAAAAAAAAAAGAAGAAGAAAAAAACAAAAAUAACCCUGAGAGGGGAAAUAAAGUCAUAUUAAUCAUAAAUCAUAGUGGCAUCUUAGAGAGCUACUUAUGGUGGAGUUACUUAUGGUGGAGUAUUUUGUCAGCUUCAGCUUCAUCUGUCUACCCACACUGCACAUCCCAAGAGCCAUUACUAACUUUACUACUAGGCUCUGAUCAUUUAAGGCCUCAAUGCUGCGUAGCUUUACUCUACCCCAGCACCAGCCUACACAGCAGUGACAAGACAGCCUUGGAGCAACCUGUGGUCAGAUGUCUUGCUCGAGGUUACAUCUUGAUCCCCUUUUGCUCUACCUAUACAGCCUUACAUUCAUUUAUCUGACUGCAGCUCAAUACAGCUGAAUAUGCUGUUUUAUAUAUACACCUAAAUCUACAUCUGGUUUUAUGGUGUAGUACUCUGUAUAGGACUUCAUCCAUUUCUGUUACAAUUAUGAUAUACUGGAGACAGACUCAUUGUUUGUUUUCCUGUCUGUGUGAGGUGUGAAUGUGUUCUGUUCACAUAACAGGAUACUGUAGCUAUUGCACAGUGUGUUUUCUUUCCUUUUUGGACAGCAAGAAACCUCAGCAUGUAUCACAACUGAUUUUAUAGACUUGAAUUUUAAAUGCUUCCAUCACUGAAAUGCAACAACUUCCAAGUUUGAGUGCUUUUUUUAAAAAAAUUUAAGGACUCCAAACAAAUAGAUCCUCAUAGACAUGUAAUUUCCUGUCAGUAUGAUCAAAAUGUAAAAACAAUUAAUCAGUUAUUAUCAGUGCACAUAUUUGAUAACAAAACCAAAGGAAAGCUUGUGUGUCACAAUGUAAACCAUGAACAAUAACACAACUCCCUUAAGGGGAAGUAUCAUGCAAGUGCCAUUCGCCAUUUUGUGGGAAUAUCUGUAAAGUUCAGUAGUUAUCCACUUAUGCCACAUCACACAAAAAAAUUUUUAGUGACACAAGAUAAAGUCAUAUUUCACAAAAGAAUAGGCAAAAUAUAUCACGUUACAUCAUCGAUGAACAGUUAGGCAGUUUUUAUCUGCCAGACAUCACCAAAAAAAAUUUAAUUUCAUGAAAUUAUCUGCUGUAGAUCAUUUAAAACCAUUGAGGUCAACAUGGAAUCACAAUCAACCCUAUUUAUUUUCUUAAUACAUUCUUGGUCUUAUUGUGCAUGAUUUAGUGCAUAUUAAUCAAAAGUAAAAAAAAAAGUCUUAAUCUUACAGUGAAUUCAGUAAGAACGUCAUCUGUAAUCCUUGUUUAUGGGAAUCACAGACAUUUUUUAGCCAGUUUAGUUAGAAUACAUAGCUACUUUUAGAUCCACACUAACCAACAAAUUUUAACCUCUUGAAACUGACAGAAAACUGUGGCAUAAAACACCUACUUUUCAAAAUCCAUUCAAUUUCCAAUGGAAAAUAUAAAUGAAAACAUCAAGCAACGGUAGCAAAAUAUACAGUGUAAAAAAAUUUUUUUUAGAAGUUUAUUGACUUGUUUUACAAAAUAAUAAUAAAAUGCUAUUUCAGUCUUCCCA
ensembl:lncRNA